AGGGCAAUCUGGCUGUAAUAUCUGUUACUGUGUUGAUCACCUGGGUUGAUUCAGCUGAUCUAGCUGGCCUGGCUGGUGUCCCCUCUUCCCU
rnacentral:snRNA from 1 species